rnacentral:misc_RNA from 1 species
UCACCCUUCAAGCCCUGCGCUUGGUGUUGGGCGACGUCCUCUUUGGGGACGCGCCUCAAAACGCUCGGCGGCGUGGCACCGGCUUUAAGCGUAGCAGAAUCUUAUCUUUCGCUUUGAAAGUCGGGGCCACAUCUGCCGGAAGACCUACUCGCAA